GUGGAUGGCCCUUAUACCUGGGGCUGCAUAGUCCAGUUGCAUUACAUGUUUUCCAAAUUCUGGAAAUGUUACCUAAAUUUUCAUUGAGCACAAUUGAUAAUUACUUUUAGUGUGGAAAUGAUGACAAUGGUUUAGGUUGUAUUGUGAAAAUGUGCUAUAGAAAAACAGUAGAGGUAUAUAGCUCUCCCAUUUUUCUGGUUUAUGUCAAAUGUUUAUUAAUAAAUGUGGUAUAUGGUUGAGGAAGGUACCCAUUCAGAAGAUCCCUAUCCAUAUAGGCAGGUGUGAUGUGUGUUGUUUUUUUCUGUAGAGGUGUCCUGCUUAAUUCAGGGGUCAGUUGAGGUUCAAGAAUAUGGACUUUAUUGUUGUGAGUCCAUAUAUGACCUGAACAGGACUGGAUCCUUUUUGUAACUGUAAGAACUUUAGGAGGCCAGAUGAUGUCUGAAAUGCUCUGGUGGCUUUGACAUAUAGAAUCACAGACUUUUAGAGCUAGAAUGGGUCUUUGCUUAUAUUUUGUUUAUCCCUUCCCCUCAUCUAAGAGAUGAGGCCUAAAGAGGUUACUUGAUUUGCUGGAAGCUAUGCUUCUAGUUAAGGGACACCAGCAUUAGAACCCAAGGCUUUGGAUGAUCAGUCAGCUUAAUGCUUUUGCACUGAGCUACAUCUGAAAGAUGCCAUGUACCCCAUGAUCAGUGAAGAAUGGUCUGUAGCUUGAACUAACUUGUUCCGUUUAAAAGAAAAAGACAACCACAAACAAAACCUUUUUCUUCCUGCAGACAAGUGGGUCCUGUUCAUGCAGUUUGGUUUAGGAUACUUUGGGUUUGUCCUGGAAGUCAAGUACAUCAUCACUCAACAGGAACAAGACCUCUGGAGACACCAGUGUUUAAGGAAACCUGAUGGUCAGAUCUAUGCAGUCUGGCUGCCAGAACCUUAUUGCCAUUGCCAGUUGAGUUCAUCUAGUCUUGACAUCCAUAAAUUAGCGACAGUGCUAAAAGCUGGUAAACUGGAUGGACAAUCGGCUUUGAAGAUGAGUCAGCUAUGAGGAGGCUCUGAGGUAUCUACUUUCCAGAUAACGUCCUUUUUGCAAUAGUCUUUGGAAGACUAUAUAUAUAUAUUUUUUUUCUUUUAAUACCAUCAAAUGUACAGC
ensembl:lncRNA